CUAAGUGACUAACUAAGUGACUAACUAAGUGACUAACUAAGUGACUAACUAAGUGACUAACUAACUACUCCCCACAUGAGGAUGAGUCUAUGUUACUGUUCCUGGGGCUGGUGUCUCCAGGCAGGAUACUCGUCUUCACUGUCAAGGACGAGGGCUCUUUCCACUUGUCAGCGUCUGCCCGCCAGAGACUCACAGAGUUGGGCAGUCUGCAGGCCUCAGGCCUUACUCAGUCACUGACUAAGUGACUAACUAAGUGACUAACUAAGUGACUAAGUGACUAACUAAGUGACUAACUAAGUGACUAACUAAGUGACUAUAUUAUCUAGGACGAGGGCUCUUUCCACUUGUCAGCGUCUGCCCGCCAGAGACUCACAGAGUUGGGCAGUCUGCAGGCCUCAGGGCUUGCCUGGCGAGACACUUGGGCCCUGGUUCUCUACAAUGGCGGUGAGAGUAAGGGAGAGUUGAUUUCCCACUCUCCCUCACUCACAUCCUGGGCAGACCCAGUCCUCCUGAGGACUGAAAUCACUCUGGUUCCUGUUGAAGGUGGGUGGGUG